rnacentral:rRNA from 1 species
AUUGAACGCUGGCGGCAGCCUUACACAUGCAAGUCGAACGGCAGCGCGGGAGCAAUCCUGGCGGCGAGUGGCGAACGGGUGAGUAAUACAUCGGAACGUGCCCAAUCGUGGUGGAUAACGCAGCGAAAGCUGUGCUAAUACCGCAUACGAUCUACGGAUGAAAGCAGGGGAUCGCAAGACCUUGCGCGAAUGGAGCGGCC